AGCGAACGCUGGCGGCAGGCCUAACACAUGCAAGUCGAACGGAUCCUUCGGGAUUAGUGGCGGACGGGUGAGUAACACGUGGGAACGUGCCCUUUGGUUCGGAACAACUCAGGGAAACUUGAGCUAAUACCGGAUGUGCCCUUCGGGGGAAAGAUUUAUCGCCAUUGGAGCGGCCCGCGUCUGAUUAGCUAGUUGGUGGGGUAAAGGCCCACCAAGGCGACGAUCAGUAGCUGGUCUGAGAGGAUGAUCUGCCACAUUGGGACUGAGACACGGCCCAAACUCCUACGGGAGGCAGCAGUGGGGAAUCUUGCGCAAUGGGCGAAAGCCUGACGCAGCCAUGCCGCGUGAAUGAUGAAGGUCUUAGGAUUGUAAAAUUCUUUCACCGGGGACGAUAAUGACGGUACCCGGAGAAGAAGCCCCGGCUAACUUCGUGCCAGCCGCCGCGGUAA
rnacentral:rRNA from 1 species